CUUAGAGUUUGAUCCUGGCUCAGGAUGAACGCUGGCGGUAUGCUUAACACAUGCAAGUCGAACGGUGUCUUCGGACAUAGUGGCGGACGGGUGAGUAACGCGUGAGAAUCUAGCUUCAGGUCUGGGACAACCACUGGAAACGGUGGCUAAUACCGGAUGUGCCGGAAGGUGAAAGGCUUGCUGCCUGAAGAUGAGCUCGCGUCCGAUUAGCUAGUAGGUGGGGGUAAGAGCCUACCUAGGCGACGAUCGGUAGCUGGUCUGAGAGGAUGACCAGCCACACUGGGACUGAGACACGGCCCAGACUCCUACGGGAGGCAGCAGUGGGGAAUUUUCCGCAAUGGGCGAAAGCCUGACGGAGCAAUACCGCGUGAGGGAGGAAGGCUCUUGGGUUGUAAACCUCUUUUCUCAGGGAAGAACACAAUGACGGUACCUGAGGAAUCAGCAUCGGCUAACUCCGUGCCAGCAGCCGCGGUAAUACGGAGGAUGCAAGCGUUAUCCGGAAUGAUUGGGCGUAAAGCGUCCGCAGGUGGCUGUGUAAGUCUGCUGUCAAAGAGCAAAGCUCAACUUUGUAAAGGCAGUGGAAACUACACGGCUAGAGUGCGUUCGGGGCAGAGGGAAUUCCUGGUGUAGCGGUGAAAUGCGUAGAGAUCAGGAAGAACACCGGUGGCGAAGGCGCUCUGCUAGGCCGCAACUGACACUGAGGGACGAAAGCUAGGGGAGCGAAUGGGAUUAGAUACCCCAGUAGUCCUAGCUGUAAACGAUGG
rnacentral:rRNA from 1 species